GGCUGAGGCUGAGCUGAGGAGCCACCAAACCUGUAGCCAGGGUCAUGCAGUACUAGGGGCUGAGCCUCAUCCCCUGCAGCCCUGGUC
rnacentral:miRNA from 1 species